rnacentral:pre_miRNA from 1 species
UAUAAUAUUUUGACUCUUCGUCUUAUUUAAAUUUUUUUACGAUCAAUAUUUUUUUUAAUACAUGAUAAAACAUGAAUAGUAAUUUAUACGUGACUAUUUUUUUAAGUUUUUUAUAAUUUUUUUAAAUAAGACGAAUGAUCAAACAUUGGAUACGGAAAAAC